rnacentral:rRNA from 1 species
UACGGAGGAUCCAAGCGUUAUCCGGAAUCAUUGGGUUUAAAGGGUCCGUAGGCGGUUUAGUAAGUCAGUGGUGAAAGUCCAUCGCUCAACGGUGGAACGGCCAUUGAUACUGCUAAACUUGAAUUAUUGGGAAGUAACUAGAAUAUGUAGUGUAGCGGUGAAAUGCUUAGAGAUUACAUGGAAUACCAAUUGCGAAGGCAGGUUACUACCAAUAUAUUGACGCUGAUGGACGAAAGCGUGGGGAGCGAACAGG